rnacentral:lncRNA from 1 species
UGUGAGAUUAUACUCUCACUUGAUAUACCGACAAUAAUAAGGGACAUAGUGGCGAUAUAUAUAAAUCUUAAAUAAUUAGAGAAUGGUCUAACUUUGCGGCUUUAAAGUUAACAAUCAGUAAGUAAUCAGUACCAACAAAAAGACGUGCAACGAGGAAGUGUGGGAGGAGGAGGAAGUGAGGGAAUGUUUUGUAUUGUUACAUAACAUUGUUUUGCAGGUUUAUGUUCAUGACAAGUGGUUGAUCAUCUGUUUUUAGGCUGUGAGACAUUGGGUGGCGUGUGGCCUCUUGUCUGGCGGUGGCUUCAGAUUUCUUCGGUUUCUUCGAGUGGGGUUCGUGAUCAUUUUCAUCAGUUUUGUCCUAUGGUGGGAAUGCUUUGAUCAUCGCAUUCAUUCUUCAAGGUUAUCUGGUUUGCUUGUGUCUGGAUUAUAUGGAAGGAACAGAACAACCGUGUGUCAACAAUACGACAUCCGAUCCUGACACCAUUCUUGAAAAAGUGAAGCUGAAUUCUUAUUUGUGGUUGAAGACAAACUUGUUGUCCUUCACUUUUGCUUAUCAUGAUUGGUGUCGACACCCUCUUACUUGUAUGGGUGUUGUAGUUUAAUUACUUCAUCACUUUUUACUGUUUUUUGACGGUGCUCGCUUUUUAGGCAUCGAUGACAUUGUAUAUGUUCUUUGGUGAUUCUCUCGUUGAAUGUCUUGUGCACGGUGAAUCACUUUUAGAUUUAUAAUAUAUCUCAUUUUUGUUUAUUAAAAAAAAU